rnacentral:rRNA from 1 species
AUUGAACGCUGGCGGCAGGCCUAACACAUGCAAGUCGAACGAGUGGCGGACGGGUGAGUAAUGUCUGGGAAACUGCCUGAUGGAGGGGGAUAACUACUGGAAACGGUAGCUAAUACCGCAUACCAUCGGAUGUGCCCAGAGGGGAUGAGCUAGUAGGUGUGGUAACGGCUCACCUAGGCGACGAUCCCUAGCUGGUCUGAGAGGAUGACCAGCCAGCCUGGAACUGGGACACGGUCCUGACUCCUACGUGAGGCAGCAGUGGGGAAUAGUGCACAAUGGGCGCAAGGCUGAUGCAGCCAUGCCGCGUGUAUGAAGAAGGCCUUCGGGUUGUAAAGUACUUUCAGCGGGGAGGCGUUACCCGCAGAAGAAGCACCGGCUCACUCCGUGCCAGCAGCCGCGGUAAUUC